UGUGAAAGUGUUGGGGUUGCACACUUGUGGAGUCACAGUAUUAGGGGAUGCAUGCAUCAUUCAGUUCUUCCUGGUUAAAAAAAAAAAAGUGCACAGAGAUCAGUCAGUCAUCAU
rnacentral:snoRNA from 1 species